rnacentral:lncRNA from 1 species
CAGAUUUUCAUCCAAACCUCCUACAAUGGGCUCUGAGGGGGAGCAGCUUGGUCUCAGAAAUCAGCUGUCUUAAUUUACCAUCUGGGGCUCUUCCUUCCAGAUUAGGCUGCUAUUGUUGAUGACGGGUUUGCUACCGUGGGGCUGGGUGAUCCGGAUGCUGCUAUCGAUGUGUUAUCCCUAGCAUCAAGAGAUGGUUCUUCUAGAACAUCAGCCGGCGGUAGGUCUCAAUCUCCAUCUCCAGGCGAGCCUUGACGCCCAGCAGCCGCUGGUGGUCCGCAUUCUGGCGCUCCGCGUCAGCCCGCACCUGUUGGAGUUGCUCCUCCAGGCUGCCGAUCAGCUGCUGCACCUGAGACAGUUGGCAGCAGUACCCACCCUCGGUUUCAGCCAGCGAGCCUUCCAGGGACGACUUCUGCAAAUGGGAGAUAGACAGAAUUGUCUGGGGAUCAGAGAACAAGAUGGGCAGCCCAUGGUCCAGCAUACGGUUCUGCACCAUGCGCUUCAGGUCGGUGACCUCGCUCUUGCUGGACUGAAGCUGCUCCGUGUUGCUGCUGAUCUCUUUUCGGAGCUCUCUGCUCUGCAACAGCAAAGUAGGUGGAUGGGGUGAGCUCUGCGCUGGCUCAAAGGGCUUUCUGGGAAUGCAUCAAAUCUCGCGGUGUUACCUUUUCAAGAAACCAGGCCUCUGCAUCUUUCCGAUUUUGCUCAGCCAUGGCUUCAUACUGGGCUCUCAUUUCAUUGAGGACCUUGGUGAGAUCCACUCCAGGGGCCGCGUCCAUUUCUACAUUGACCUCACCUGGACCACCUGCCUGGAAACUUUGGAGUUCCUAGAGACAGCAAUGGAGAGAGAAAGACACAGGAGUACAUGUGGCUAGUGAGUCCCCCAGUAUAUUAUGCCGAUUUUUUAUUUUGUGACUUUUCCUCUGUGUGUGAGUAUGAUUGCUUACUCCUCAUUUGGAGACAAGAGAAGAAAGAUGAAGAAAUGAUGAACCGAGAACUUCCUACCAGCAGUGAUCCUUGCAUCCCAGGAAGAAGGCUCCCUAACCAGAAAGAAGACCUCCAUCAUUGCCAGAAAAGAUACACAGAGAGCCACCGCCCGAGCUUCCAGCUAUCCCCAUCCCUAUCCCCAUUCCUCCCGCGCCACCUCUCAGAGGUCCCCCAUAGGCAGAGCCAAGCCCCGGCAAGCAACCUGCAGAGCCACCGCUAAAGCCAGAACUAGAACCAAACAUGGAAGCAGCAGAAAAGAGGCCUCCACAGCCAACUCCAAAGCCAGAGGCCGAUCCCCCAUAGCCGCCGGCAACACUAGAAGCAGAUGCACCCCAAGGUCUGCCUGCCGCCCCAUUCUGUGAGGAAGACCUCCUGGACAGCGCAGAGGUGCAGACUGAAAGCGACAUGCUGUUGCUGGAGAGGUGGUGACCCAAGAGAGACCGCAGUGCUGGGACAGUUUCAGAGGCAGAUGAAGAGCGCAUUCCUGGAAGGUGAGAAACAGAGGUGUUUUCCAAGAGGACAUUAGAAUCUGAGCUUGCAAGGCUCUGAGAGCAUCUGCUGUAAGGAGUUGUGUGGUUCUUGCUUUUCUGAAAAUGGAACACUUAAACAUGGGAGCCAGCUGUUUGGAAGUCGAACAUUUAUAGUUAACAAAAGAUUGGCAUUCUCAGUGAACCAUGACGCUGGGCUCUGGGCUGAAUGCUUAUUGCUAUUUCUUCAAUGGCAUUACCUGUGAGAAUUUUGUAGUAAAUCUGUUGGCUGAAUGGAUAGUAUAUCACCUACAGUGUUCCACCAUUAACAAAAUACAUACACACACACAUACACACACGCAAACACUGUCCAAAAUAAGAAAUGAUUAAAACUCCAUGCUUCAGAAGCCAGAGAGUCAUUUCGGUGGAUGGAGAGGAAUGCAUUUUUGCAUCACAGAACAGCCAAUGGGAGGCUGUCUUAUUAAAUUCCUGUGAAUUCUUUGGGAAGCAUGAUCCUGAGAAUUUUAUCCAGGGGUCAGAGAGAUGGCUCAGUACUUAGGAACACUUGCUUCUUCCAGAGGACCCAGGUCCAAACCACCCCCCACCUCCAAUGACAAUCAAUCUAAUGGCUCUGGUGUACAGGUUCCCACAGCAGAGCCUUUAAUAGUAGCUCCAUAUUUCCUGGGCGCCCUGGUCCCAGAGAAUGCUUCUUUCUCUGGCCUUUAUGCCAUGAGAGUUGGUCUCAAGGUCAGUACUUGCUUUGCAGUGAUAGAGCGCGGAUUCUUCCUCGUUCAGCAAGAGCAACACUCACCUCGUCCAGGUAGUGUUGGCCCUUAUUCAGCCUCCCCAGAGGCGAAAUCUUAAAUCUGGAGUCGUACCAAGCCAGAGUGAGAGCUGCCUAUUGGGCACUCGGGAGCACAUGCAGAAGGUCACAGCUGAGCUUCAUGGCAGGCCUCCGUAAGAAAUACCCAGGACAGGGGCUGGAGAGAUGGCACUGACUGCUCUUCCUGAGGUCCUGAGUUCAAUUCCCAGCAACCACAUGGUGGCUCAUAACCAUCUAUAAUGGGGUCCCAUGCCCUCUUCUGGUGUGUCUGGAAACAGCUACAGUGUACUCGCAUAAAAUAAUCUAAAAAAAGGAAGAAAGAAAGAAGGAAAGAAAACCCAGGAUCAAACAGACUGGCAGCUUUUCAAAUCACUUUCCCAGGGUCAGGAACACUGAACCCGGAGUGACAGCUACUGACAACUCCCCUUAACCUUGUUAAAUAAGGAACAUGUGCAAGGGACACAUUCUCCUCCCAACCUAUACAGUCACAAAGAAAGAGCAGGGCUUCAAAGCAAGAGGUUUGCAGAAAUGAUACAUUUAUACUGUAAAUAUAUGCCUGGGAAGCACCAGCAAUCUCUGGCAGACAAGGUUUGACGACACAGUCUGCAAUCCACUUGCCUCAUUUGUAAGGAGCAUGGGAAGUUGUGAACUGAGAUGCCAAGACCCACAGUUACAGAUGGAGGCUCCACUAAGGGUUCCUCUAAUCUAUGGGCUGAGCUCGUCCUUGUUUGAACUGACAUCAGUUCCCAUGUUCCUGCUGUCAUCCAAGACACUGGAUCAAGCGAGUCGCAGACCUUGUGUUUCAGAGAGCUCCUAUGAUGUUGCUUUUAUCUCCUUUUACAACAGAACCAUCUCAGAGUCAGGACAUUGACUUAUUUAAGGCAGAGAGAGAAAUCAGCUCUUUAGUAUAGUCUACAGACAGCGCAACCCUGAUGCUUCUCUUGGUGAAAUACAAAGGACACCAGGUGACUGUGACCUCCUUAACUGUGAGAUUGAAGUUCUCACCCACACACCAACCAGAAACUCUGACUCUGUCCUUCCUGGAACUUCUCGGGGGCACAGCCUAAGACCACAAAAUGAUUUUCUGUGGCCUAUGAAAAAUGACACCCUGUGAGACUCUGCCAAUGCUAAGGCAGAUGUGUCUUUAGUUUGGGUUUUGUCCUCUGGCCUCAUCUCCAGACAUAUGACAAAGCAUAAGUGAGUGACAUUGUGGUUGUUUCCUGUGACUCACAAGCAACACUCUCGCAAGGCAGAGUGGCUCCAUUUUACCACCAUAGAAACAAACAGGGGCUGUUGCUUGCUACAGCGUCAACAAGGAUGUGCCCUAAACACAACAUCCACUUAGCAGUUACAAGCAGCUAAUAACGUAAUGUGAAUAGCAUGUAUUUUUGAACUCGGAGUCAAUUUUGUCCUGAAAUGCAUGUUUUACAUCCUUAAUGCUUAUAUGUAUAUAUUUAUGUAUAUUUAAUUUAAUUUUAAUUUUCUUGACCGGGCUUCACUGUGUAGCCUUGGCUGUCCUGUAGAUCUCUGUAGAUCAGGCUGGUCCUGAACUCUCUGAGAUCUGUCUGCCUUUACCUUCCAAGGAUUAGGACUAAAGGCAUGUGCCAACACUGCCUGGCUGUAUAUUUUAAGUAAAUUUGCUUCAUAGCCUGCAUUAGGCUUUUAUAAUAGGCAUUUAUGUUUCUACACGGGUAUGCUCCUGAACUGUAGGCUUCUAAAGUAGAGGUGUCUAACUGAUGUUUUACCCUGAGUCCCAGCCCAUUCUUUGACUAAAAACCUUCAUUUUAUACCCAGAGUUGUUUUGCUUGAAAGAAUUUAUUUGUAAUUUGCUUAAAUGUGUCACUGAAAAUGCACCUCAAAAUCAUCACGCCCCACUCUCUGGGAUGCUUGAUUAAGUCUUAUUCUGAACUCAUGUAUAAGGGGAUAACUUGGAAGCUGGAAAGAGAUGUCUUUCUUUUUCAAUGACUAUUUGGAAAGGCUGGAUGCGGUGUUCAUUGCCUGCUCCCUCCACCCUGCCCCCUGCUCGCCGUGGCCUGUUAGCUUAGUUGGUUGGAG